rnacentral:rRNA from 1 species
GACGAACGCUGGCGGCGUGCCUAAUACAUGCAAGUCGAGCGCAGGAAAUCGACGGAACUCUUCGGAGGGAAGGCAGUGGAAUGAGCGGCGGACGGGUGAGUAACACGUAAGGAACCUGCCUCAAGGAUUGGGAUAACUCCGAGAAAUCGGAGCUAAUACCGGAUAGUUCAACGGACCGCAUGGUCCGCUGAUGAAAGGCGCUUCGGCGUCACCUUGAGAUGGCCUUGCGGUGCAUUAGCUAGUUGGUGGGGUAACGGCCUACCAAGGCGACGAUGGAGAGCCGACCUGAGAGGGUGAUCGGCCACACUGGGACUGAGACACGGCCCAGACUCCUACGGGAGGCAGCAGUAGGGAAUCUUCCACAAUGGACGCAAGUCUGAUGGAGCAACGCCGCGUGAGUGAUGAAGGUUUUCGGAUCGUAAAACUCUGUUGUAAGGGAAGAACACGUACGAGAGGGAAUGCUCGUACCUUGACGGUACCUUACGAGAAAGCCACGGCUAACUACGUGCCAGCCGCCGCCGUAACAC